UUCACCCAAAUCUCAGUUCAAUGGUCUUAGUUCUUGUAUGAUUUAGGAACUUGUAUUAAAGUGGAAAUGAACUAUUCUAUUUCACCAGUUAGAUCUAAAAGUAUGGAUACUUAUUGUCAUCCCAAUUACAUAAGAAUUGUAUCUUAAUAGGAUCUUUAUCUGGUGGAGCUCCAACAACUUGGACUAUAAUUGUAACCAAUCAAACUCACUGUGCCUGUUGGAAACGUUUGUGAAUGGAAUCUUGAAAAGAAAUAAAGUGCAAUCCACUAUGAAGGAACCUAGUGUCAAUUAGAAGCUGCUGAUAGUGUGGUUUCGAAUAAGUUUAGAUAGUAUGGGUUUCGAAGGGUUUUUUGGCUGGACUAGUAAGUGGGGUUUUAGUGUGGUUUCGAAUAAGUUUUAGAUAGUAUAGGUUUUGAAGGGGCUUUUGGCUGGACUAGUUAGUGGGGUUCUGGUUUCAGAUUUGGGUUUCUUUUGGGAGGUGGGUGUACUUCGUGGAGUUGUUCUAGAGGUUUUUCAAGGAUUCAGAACUGGGUUUGUGGAGGAAUUCAGGAAUUCAAUUUGUUCUAUCAUAUCUACAGGUAACGUUGCAGGUCAGUUUUGCCAGAAGAUUUAGUGGGUUCUUGCAGAUUUUUGCAGGCAAUUAGCAAAGAAAAGAUGCACUGUUCUGCAGUUUCAAGGUUCUUAAAGACUUGGUUUGAGGAAUUGAUGUUUGGUUCUUCAGCGUUUUAAUUUUUAGGCUAAUUUUGGCUUAUAUAGUAAGGGUUUCGAAUAAGUUCUGACUCCAGUUUAUGGGUAAAUUAUGUUGCUGGAAUGAGUGGGGUCUAAACAUAGAUUAGAUCCAAUGCUAGAUCUAGUUUUUCUAGGAUCGGAGUGGCAAUUCAGGAUUUAAAGUCGAGCCAGCAACUGGCAGGAAAAAUUGGUUGUGACCUCUACCCGUUCUGUGGAAAGGACGCCCUCUAACCUGCUGAGGCUGCUAGAGUUUUUGAAAGUCAAUUGGCAGAGUCCAUCUUGGAAGGUGAUGAGCAACUUGCAUUUCAAAAGCUUGCAACUACAACACUUGAAAAACUAACGCCGAUGAUAGAAGGGAACGGAGAGUUUUGGUCAGGCUAGGUGGAGGCUAGUGUAUGCACCAGAGAUCCCUAGCUUGCUUUCUGUUGAUCCUACUGUGGAUCCUCUCAAAUCCCUGGCCAGUAAUAUUUCAUUUGGUACAGAAGUUGAAGUCCAACUUGGGAAAACGUCUUCGGGUGUUUUUCAAGCAAACUCCUUAAUCUGCUUUCGAUAUUGUUGCAACUCACAUUUGAUAUUCUCCAGAUGCAUCGGUUCUUCAAAAGUUUUGGAAACUUUGUGUGCAACAGCUCAUUAUUUCAGGUGAUGGCGUCAAAUAAGGCCUCAAGUGACAACAAUGGUGGGAGAAGAGAAGAACACUCAGAGAAAGGUUUGCUGCCAACAAAUCAAUUCAUGUUACUACUGGAUUCCACAUUAGUGUGUUUGAAGGUAUUUCUUUGUUGAAGUCCAAAGUAGCUGCUGUAAAAUCUGAUGUGGGGAGGCUCAGACCAACGGUUGGAUGUUUGGAACCCAAUAUUGGGACAUUGACACAAAAAAUAGUUGAAGUACCAGACUUAGUGUGAGAACUGAAAGUUGGUUUGUACUUUAGCACUCCAAAUUUGUAAUGACUGACCAUCUGAGGAUCAUCAUAUACUGCAGAUGGGAAAGUAUUGCAGAUUUGUUUUAUGCCUCCAUAUUCCAGGACACAUGCUCUGUGUUAUGCUCUGAAUAAUUGUAAUUGAGAGUGCACUUGGAACUGUAGUGUCAAAUUUUAGUUUCAUGGUGAAGAAAACAUUUAGUAGGGUGAAAAUAACUUCACCCCUUGAUUUUA